CCACUUGUGCCAGUUAUCUAGAGACCUAUUUUUAGUGGUAAGUACACCUUGGACUUUUUCUGAAAUGGCUUUCAAUUUCUAAGACCUAAAUGUUACUCCUGUAACAUCUCGGUGGACUUCAAGGGGAGAGAAGAAACAAACAUGUGUUCAGUCUGUCUUCAACUGUCUCCCAUUGACAGUGUCCCUGGGGAUCUUCCUGCCAUCAACGAUUUCAAGAACCCAUCCAUGGAGACAGCCAUUCAAUCUGUCAUGCUAUGUCAAAUAAUUAUGAUAGCUGUAUUCCUAAGAAUCUGUCAACAAGUUAUAAAAUAAAUUGACACAAUGGCAGGAGGGGCAGUAGCAAAAGGAGGGAGCAUUUUAAACCGCCUAGUAAUUUCUCCAGCAUUACUGGACAAAUCUAGCCUCUCAUCAGAUAUGGACACUGUUCAAACAGGAUAUCAGUCUUAUUAUCACAAGCACUCUAACUAAUGAGAACACCGUAUACACACACAUCUCCUUUGCCACCCACAGCUCUGAAAGCACAACAGAAAAAUGCCCAACAAUGUGUGUUCUGAAGGCACCCACCUCCCACCUCCACCUCCAUCAAGGUGCUAGUUCCCUGCAGGUGGGUAAAAGGGCUAAGACCGAAAGCCUGGUGCAAGUGUGCGGAGUCAACCCCAGCCCAGCACCUAGGAGCCAUGGAGCAAUGAAGCAGAAGAUGUAUCUCUGUGUCUCCAUUUCCUUUGGAAAUGCAGGUAUCGGGGCUGGCGCUGUGGCACAGUGAGCUAAGCCUCCACCUGCAGCACCGGCAUCCCAUAUGGGUGCCAGUUUGUGUCCUGGCUGCUCCUCUUCUGAUCCAGCUCUCUGCUGUGGCCUGGGAAAGCACUGGAGGACCACCCAAGUGCUUGGGCCCUGCAACCACAAAGGAGACCCAGAGGCUUCAGAUCAGCUCAGCUCUGAACGUCGUGGCCAUUUGGGGAGUGAACCAGCAGAUGGAAGACCUUUCUGUCUGUCCCUCUCUCUAUAACUCUGCUUCUAAAAUAAUAAUAAUAAUAUGCAUUAAGCACUAAUCCCUAAAAAGGUCUGGGGACCGGUGUGAUGCUACAGGGGCUGCCACUUGUGAUGCUGGCAUCCCUCACUGGAGUGCCAAAAUCUGAGUUCUGGCUGCUCUGCUUCCUAUCCAGCUUCCUGCUAAUCCACCAGGGAAAGCAAUGGAUGACGUUCCAAACACAUGGGUCUCUGUCGCCCACACGGGACACCAGCCUUCAGCCCAGUCCAAGCCUUGCUGUUGCAGCCAUUUUGUUGUUGUUAUUUUAAAGAUUUAUUUAAAAGGCAGAGUUACAUGGUAGGGGUUUGGCAAAAGACAGACAGACAGGAAGAGAGAGAUACUUCAUCCACUGGCACACUCCCCAAAUGGAUGCAAUGGGGGGAGAGGGGGCCAAGCUGAAGCCAGGAGCCAGGAGGCCUCUCAGGAUCUCCCAUGAUGGUGGCAGGAGCCCAAACACCUGGGCCGUCUUCCAUUGCCUUCCCAAGCACACUAACAAGGAGCUAGAUCAGACGUGGAACAGCCAGGUCGCAGAACUGGCACCCACACAGGAUGGCCUAACCUACUGCAUCACAACACUAGCCCUGGCUGCAGCUAUCCGGCGAGUGAACCAGCAGAUGGAAGAUCUCUGUCUCUCACUGUAUUUCAUUCUGUCUUUCAAAUAAAUAAACAAUCUUUAAAAGGCAUUUUUUCAACUGUUACACAAGGAAGAGUCUUGUCUCUGUGACCUCAGACAAGUUACUGAAUCUUCCUGGGCCUGUUUCUUCAUCUGCAAAGACGAACGUGAGGUCCAACUGAGAAGGGAACCAGGAACCACGGUAUGUGGAGGUGGGCACAGAGAGCUACUGCAGGGGAAGAUGUGACCUGGGUGUGGAUGGGAAAAGAGGGGAGAGCCUAGGACACCCCACGUUUCAAUGCCAAGUGCCCCUUCGUGCAGAGAGACAUCUGGGAGGAUCUGCAGGUGCGGUGAGUGAGGUCAGCUCUGGAAAUGCUGUUUCAGGGAUCUGUUGAACUUCUGAUGGGGACGUCCAGUGUGGCUGUGGCUGCAUGGCCCUGAAGCAUGGAAGAGGCACCUGGACCAGAAACCCAGGGCAUGCUCUACCUAUCAGCGGCAAACGGAUCUAGGGCAGCUCACUCAGGAGGCAGAUCCUGCAGAGAAGAUGGGGUGAAGGACGGAUGAGUCAGGAAUAUACCGGAAGAGGAGCCAACACAGGAAACAGAAAAAGAGUCCCUAGAGAGGGCACGCAAGAGAGCGGGACUGGGUGUGAGCAGAGCAACUCUGCAAACUGCAGCAGAGAGGAAAGGAAAGGAGAACGGGUCAGGGAGACCAAGAUGCAGGGCACUGAUGAAAGAGCCCCAGGAAGGGAGGGGAAGGCUGAGAAUGUCCCGACACGACUGCAGCAGCCACAAGAGGGAGGCUGAGAAUGCACAGCAGCGAGGGGAAAACCCUGGUGGAACGCUCGGGGCACGUGGCACGGGUAGGAGAGGCUGGCCCCAGACAGGUGGCAGGACCCGAGACCCUGAUGGAAUGCUCGGGGCACGUGGCACAGGUAGGAGAGGCUGGCCCCAGACAGGUGGCAGGACCCGAGACCCUGAUGGAAUGCUCGGGGCACGUGGCACAGGUAGGAGAGGCUGGCCCCAGACAGGUGGCAGGACCCGAGACCCUGAUGGAAUGCUCGGGGCACGUGGCACAGGUAGGAGAGGCUGGCCCCAGACAGGUGGCAGGACCCGAGACCCUGAUGGAAUGCUCGGGGCACGUGGCACAGGUAGGAGAGGCUGGCCCCAGACAGGUGGCAGGACCCGAGACCCUUGUAGAAUGCUUGGGGGGGGCACGUUUGACCUGUAGGAGAGGCUGGCCCAGACAGGUGGCAGGACCCGAGACCCUGGUGGAAUGCUCGGGGCACAUGGCACAGGUAGGAGAGGCUGGCCCCAGACAGGUGGCAG